GAUGAACGCUGGCGGCGUGCCUAAUACAUGCAAGUCGAGCGAACGGACGAGAAGCUUGCUUCUCUGAUGUUAGCGGCGGACGGGUGAGUAACACGUGGAUAACCUACCUAUAAGACUGGGAUAACUUCGGGAAACCGGAGCUAAUACCGGAUAAUAUUUUGAACCGCAUGGUUCAAAAGUGAAAGACGGUCUUGCUGUCACUUAUAGAUGGAUCCGCGCUGCAUUAGCUAGUUGGUAAGGUAACGGCUUACCAAGGCAACGAUGCAUAGCCGACCUGAGAGGGUGAUCGGCCACACUGGAACUGAGACACGGUCCAGACUCCUACGGGAGACAGCAGUAGGGAAUCUUCCGCAAUGGGCGAAAGCCUGACGGAGCAACGCCGCGUGAGUGAUGAAGGUCUUCGGAUCGUAAAACUCUGUUAUUAGGGAAGAACAUAUGUGUAAGUAACUGUGCACAUCUUGACGGUACCUAAUCAGAAAGCCACGGCUAACUACGUGCCAGCAGCCGCGGUAAUACGUAGGUGGCAAGCGUUAUCCGGAAUUAUUGGGCGUAAAGCGCGCGUAGGCGGUUUUUUAAGUCUGAUGUGAAAGCCCACGGCUCAACCGUGGAGGGCCAUUGGAAACUGGAAAACUUGAGUGCAGAAGAGGAAAGUGGAAUUCCAUGUGUAGCGGUGAAAUGCGCAGAGAUAUGGAGGAACACCAGUGGCGAAGGCGACUUUCUGGUCUGUAACUGACGCUGAUGUGCGAAAGCGUGGGGAUCAAACAGGAUUAGAUACCCUGGUAGUCCACGCCGUAAACGAUGAGUGCUAAGUGUUAGGGGGUUUCCGCCCCUUAGUGCUGCAGCUAACGCAUUAAGCACUCCGCCUGGGGAGUACGACCGCAAGGUUGAAACCCAAAGGAAUUGACGGGGACCCGCACAAGCGGUGGAGCAUGUGGUUUAAUUCGAAGCAACGCGAAGAACCUUACCAAAUCUUGACAUCCUUUGACAACUCUAGAGAUAGAGCCUUCCCCUUCGGGGGACAAAGUGACAGGUGGUGCAUGGUUGUCGUCAGCUCGUGUCGUGAGAUGUUGGGUUAAGUCCCGCAACGAGCGCAACCCUUAAGCUUAGUUGCCAUCAUUAAGUUGGGCACUCUAAGUUGACUGCCGGUGACAAACCGGAGGAAGGUGGGGAUGACGUCAAAUCAUCAUGCCCCUUAUGAUUUGGGCUACACACGUGCUACAAUGGACAAUACAAAGGGCAGCGAAACCGCGAGGUCAAGCAAAUCCCAUAAAGUUGUUCUCAGUUCGGAUUGUAGUCUGCAACUCGACUACAUGAAGCUGGAAUCGCUAGUAAUCGUAGAUCAGCAUGCUACGGUGAAUACGUUCCCGGGUCU
rnacentral:rRNA from 1 species